ensembl:snRNA U6 U6 spliceosomal RNA
UUGAUACAGAGAAUAUUAGCAUGGCCCCUGCCCAAGAUUGACGCGCAAAUUUGUAAAGCAUUCUGUAUUAAA